rnacentral:sRNA from 1 species
AUUUAGCCCCGAUAGCACUGGAAAUCCUUUUGUGUCCGCCGCGGCGGACAUAAAAGAUUGGAAGGAAUAGCGGGACCAGAC